rnacentral:lncRNA from 1 species
UCGGCUAUCAAACAUAACCUUAGAGGAUCCCCAUUGGAGAUUCGAAUCCUUGUUAGAGAUCUAGCUGCAACAUCCUACAUUGCCAUGGUAGGACAAGCACCAGAAGUCACGGGAGGAGCACUUGAGCUCCUUAAUGGAGAACUCAUAGGGACCAAUGUGAAGGAUGAAGAACUCGUCAAAAGAGAGACCCUUAGAGGAGAAGGAUGGCAAGCCCACCUUCCAAUAG